GCGAGAUCUGUGUACAGAACAACAGGUACGUCUGAGUGGAUCUCCAGUCUGUGGAGCCCCGCGUAUCCUUCCCAGCGUGGCAUGGAGUGCACACAAUACGGGGCCAUCACGGCGACCCCUCACAUUCCCUCGAGACGCCGAGGCUGCACAGAAACACCCAUAAUUAGCAACAAUGGUGAGAAUGGGAAGAUACUGUAAGAGUCUCCCAGGUGCCGCGGCGCGCCUUUCCUACAGGUCACUGGUGCCUCAGGACGGCCGCUGAGUGGUUGUCUUGGUCCAGGAGGAAACCUUUGUCCUGAUCUGUAUUGGCGGCGGCGGAUGGUGUGUUAUGUGUGUGGAGAGAGAGAGAGAGAGAGAGAGAGAGAGAGAGAGAGAGAGAGAGAGAGUUCAUCAGUCAUGGCGUCAUCGCAUCUCAUGCCAAAAGAAAAAUGUAAUUAGCGGAGGGGAAUGCAUCGGUUCACUUGUUAUUUCAGGCGGUUCACUCGCUAUUUCAGGCGGCGCAGUUCCCGAGACGGAGAAACAUUACCAUGAGUCUUGGGGACGAGAGAAGUAGACGAGCCUGGCGGGGAUCUUGCCUGCUGAUUGUUGUCUGUCAGAUCUGAAGAACGUGCAGGGCCAUUAAGUGAUGACUGAUGCCAUUUAGAAACAAGUGCGCCUAACGUAGUAAGUGAAAGAGGAGCUAAGCAACGACGGAUGGAGGGAGAAAGCGGUGCAUCAGAACUGUUGUGGCCGAGGAAGUUUAAGGCUCUAGCUUCCUUGCUUGAAGCCGACAGUGCACAAAGGCGUGUACAAACAUGCGAUAUCUGAAGUGUUUCAAAGGCAAGGAAAAUAUAAAGACGCCUUCAAUCAAAUAAGAGAGGCUGCUUCAUGCGGGGCUUCGUUCUGUCCGGACCUGAUCGGUGGUGGGCAUGCGCAAUGAGGCAGUGAGAUGACCUUGGCCUAGACCCUCUUGGGAGUAUAAACGACUGGAAUCCCUACAACAGUGAGGGAGAGAAGGUUCAGAUUGUAGGAUCUAUGGAUAAUGAUGAUCUUUUGUUUCGUUUAUCAAGACUGGCUUUCCAUCGGUUUCCAUGCCGGUGUGGUGAGGCGAGCGGAGUCCAGUGUGUCCUGUGUGGCGGCGAUGGCGUUGUUGGAAUACUGUUAUCGUGCUUCUGGCGCCAAAUGCGAUGCUUGUUUUGACUGACCAGCUAAACACGAACUUACUGAUGUGCGCGAAGUCCGCCAAGAGUGAUGAGAUGAAGGAAAACUUGUGUUGAGGUGUGUGCUUCAUCACGAGGCGUCCAUGAUGGGGGGAGGAAAUGGUUGGUGUGCGUUAGAACAGCUGGUGUUUGUUUGAUCUGCUGUUCGUGAACUGAUAAGUGGUGGUCCACACAGUUUAAUGCACAGGUGGAUUCUGUGGACAAUGCUAUUAACUAGCGGACGCUGUGGUGCUGCCGGGAAGUGUUGUCAUACUGUGGUGCUGCAGGCAAGUGUUUUCAUACUGUGGUGCUGCCGGCAAGUGUUGUCAUACUGUGGUGCUGCCGGCAAGUGUUGUCAUACUGUGGUGCUGCCGGCAAGUGUUUUCAUACUGUGGUGCUGCCGGCAAGUGUUGUCAUACUGUGGUGCUGCCGGCAAGUGUUGUCAUACUGUGGUGCUGCCGGGAAGUGCUGUCAUACUGUGGUGCUGCCAGGAAGUGUUAUCAUACUGUGGUGCUGCCGGGAAGUGCUGUCAUACUGUGGUGGUGCCAGAAAGUGCUGUCAUACUGUGGUGCUGCCGGGAAGUGCUGUCAUACUGUGGUGGUGCCAGAAACUUCGGGAAGUGUUAAUAUAAUUAUGAUACUGAGGUGCCGCCGAAAGGUGUUUUGAUACUGCGGAUGUGUGGUGAGGGCAGUGGUGAGAGCAGCCUCAGUGUCAUCCUCCCCAACAUGUACACGAUGACUGGGACAGGAAGGACAGUACUCAGUGUUGUGAAUCCCACAUGGACUUGGUAAGUGAAGGAAGCGUGGGUGUCAGGCCUCUUGUCCAAAAUUUUUCGCUGGAUUGUGAAGUGGAGUCUGUCAUCAAGAGAAGGUUCCCAUGAGGAAGAAAAGCUCAGCCAAUAUUUGCCUUCAGGCCACGAAGCUUUGAUCUUCUAACAAGGUCACUCCCGCCUCGCGCCUUCCACUCGCCUGUCGGAGCCCGCACACUGCUAUCUUGGAGUCUGCAUAUCCGUGUAUGGCCGUCGCCAGAGAGAGAGAGAGGUCAGGAAGAGAACAGAGACGACACGCCCGCACAGUUACCUCAUCACUGCCACGCUCUGCUCCUCUGAGCGAAACUUCCUGUCCUGGCGCCUCACUCUCGAGCUUCUGUCCUGUGGAGAAGAGCAACAUAGCAAGGCGUGGAAAAGCCUUUCCGUCACGUCCAGAGGGCUCUCAACAGUGCCGGGAUUCAGACGAGCUGCGCGCCACCUCCAAAUAUUUGCCUCAUAACAAUAACAUGAAUAAUGGAAAAUGAUAAUGUCUGACCAAUAUUUUUCCUCGAGUCGUGGAGUUCUCUGACCAUCGCUAGCCAGAAUAGAGAGUUCACCAAGUUACGGGACAGCUCACCACUCUAACAGACAUCUCGCCACUCUAAUAUACUGCUCACUACUCUUAUAAGCACUGCACCUAUCUCCUACACUGCUCACUACUCUUCUAGACAACUCAUCACUCUAGUACUACCAUUUUGUCUCCUGUUGAUAGUUUUGUCAGGUCUAUAAGGAGGAGAAUCAAGAUAAAGCUGAACUAAACUGGUGAGCGUCAUUUGAGUUUUAGGAAGUGCUAGUUAAGAUAGCUUAUUGAUUUAUACUUUUUGCCUUUGGUCAGUCUCCCCGACAUGUUAGUAAAUAGAUUAAUGCAUAAAUAGAAAAUAUAUA